UAUUGGUUGAAUUAUAUUAGUAGCAAUGUUUGGGGCUAAACAGCACUAUUAUUUCUUGAUAUCUAAGGGAAUUGGUCCAAAGAUCCCUGUGGAUGCCAAUAAUAUGGCCAAAUACUUACAUAUAACCUAUACACUUCCUCCUGUUUACUGUCUAUUAUCUCUAGAUUACUGAUAAACCCUGACACAAUGUCAAAGCUAUGCAAAUAGUUGUUCAGCACAGCAAGAAAACUUUUUGUACAUGCUCAGUAAAGACACAUUUUUCUUUUAAUUUUGGAUAUAUUUCAUCCAUGACCAUCUGAUUUCAUGAAUGUGGUCAAUGUAGACAUAGGGGUUAACUAUAGAGCAAAUGCUUUAAAACCCAUUUUACAACUGACAUAUUAAGAUAGUGCUCAGGACUGUGUUAUACACCUGGCAGUGAGGCAUCUAUAGUGACAGAUGCAAAGGAGCCCCCCCCCCCAAUUAGUCAUGCAUCUCUGUGAUAAAAAGAGACCAUAAGAACCAGGAAUGAUUUGAGGUCUCUCUGAAGAUCCCAGCUUCACAGUCAGGGAGACCUCCUCUGGACAGACUUUUUUUUUUUUUUUUUAACAUCUGAAGUGCUCUUGGCCCCAUAAACACUGUUGAAAAAUUUAUUUCAACAUUCCCUUUUAGCUAAAGGAGAUCCCUUGGUGUUUUGAAAGCACUUUCCUUGGAUGUUCCUUGGAUUCAGCUUCCUGUGCAGACUACUCUUACAAAAGCAGCACAGACCACGGACCCUUGUAAUUGGACUGACCAAUCCAUCUCAAGAAUGUCUGUCACGUGUAGAAGGAACAUCCAUCAUGGCUGCAACUAACAUGUGAUGGGUCCACAGAACACGGUUCACCAAAGCUUUGUCACCAGGACUCUUCCUGGUGGAGCCUGGUGAAGGCAGAGUGAGGAACGAGGCAAAGUGAGUGACCCCAGUCCAUGCACAGCCAUCUGCUCUCUAGACUAAAUGUUGCCUUCAGGGCACAGAUGCUGUUGGUAACAGUGGUUCUAAAGCAGGAAAUGGCCUAUGGUUGGAGGACACUAUUGUUCUUUGCCAUCCAUCACCUGUCCUAUAGCCAGCAGAACUGUUCCUUUUAGACAAGAAAAACAGACAAAAAGAGGGAGGGGCUAAUUUUUCUCCCACAAAACAUUUCAGAGACCUGUUCUAGAGCAGGGAUAGGGGGUGUAACUUGGCUCGUCUCCUCCUGUCAUUCACCGGAGCACCACAAAGCAGCCUUGCUUGUGAUAGUAUCAUGGAGUUUGGAUAUUCAUACUGGAGAGAGAGGAAAGCAGGCACGGCCCUCAGAUGAGUCACUUUGGGCAGGGCAGGCAUUGUCUGGCUAUACACUAAUAGACAUCAAGGCUGGAUGCCCAUUGGCAGAAGCAGGCUGACUCAAGACCAAGCCCAAAGCAGAUGGCCGUCAGGAGCCAGUGUCUGCCCUGAGCAACAUAAUCACUGUUCACUUCAGGGACACUCAGUGUCCAGAGCAUAGGAGUGCUCCUUGUCCUUCAGCGCAGUAUUUCCAUCUGGUAAGGUAGGCUCAAAGGUGAGCUGGGCUGCUGGAAGAUCCAGUUAGGAAAUGGUAGAGAAGCACCACUACUCUACCUGCUAGGGAACCUCACAUCCCCAGGUAUAGCUGCCCACAGUUACAUUGAACGGGUUACCUGGAAGGGAAGCUGGGGAUGUAUGGGAAGGCGGCAAAAAGAGACGGAGACCAAGAUGACACCUGCUAUUCAAGGUCUCAGAGUUUAGUGAAGAACUCCCAAUAUAUAGGCAGGGGAAAAUCCUUCCCCAAAAGGCUGGAAGCUUCUCAGCAGAACCAGUUCAGUUGCUCCCAGGUGGAUAGUGUUUCUUAGGAAACUGCAGGUCCUUGAAGAACAAUAGGCUCACCUUGGUCUGAGCACUCCACCCUAGGUGGAGGGGAUUAUGGCUAACACAGGAGUUCCCGCUCAAAGGCUGGGAGAGGAACUUCACAUUGGUCGAUGUCAAGUUCCUGCCAUGGCAUGGCCCCUCAAUAAGGCUCUCUACACCCAUCUUCUCUUCCUCUCUACCUCUUGGCCUUGAACUUCCAUUAUGAAUGAACCAACAAAGGCCAGUAGGCAACUGUCUCAGGAAACCUUUGUAAAAUGCCACCACAAUCAGUGACAUUCUCCAAAGCCAUUUCUGCAGAGGUUCUGGAAGGUUCUAGCUAAUCAUAAAGCAUCAAGAUCUAGAGCUGGAGGCAGAGUGGGGAGAAGCUGGAGGCCAAGCCUUGUCCCUGUGAAGAACAUCAGUUGGACAAGCUGUCAGUGGGGACCCAACAGCUUGGGGACGGGUGGGAGAAAGAAGAGCAUUUAGGACAUCCAUCCCCAGCUGAGGAGGUGCGAGCACAGCCUGCCUGCUAGGAUGGAGGAUCCUGGAGGUCUGGUUCCCUGAAGCAGAGUCCGUGAUGAUGUAACUUCACCAGGGGUUAAUCAUGAGUGACCAGCUUGUGGCUCCUACCUCAGCCAACGACCCAGUAUUAAUACGCCAAACAAGAUCCACAUUUACAACAGCAUCACCUUGGACUUUAUGGAGGUAUUUUCACUCCAUAAACUCAACCUGCGUUCAUAUAUGCCUUCUCAUUUCCUGUUCACAAAGCCAGCUCCAAGGCACCCAUAAUUAUGUCAACGUUUGAAGAAACUGGCUCCCAAGAGGGCUAGGUGGAAGCUCCUGUCUCCACAGUGCCAGACCAACAAAGAGUAACGCCUGGUGGCCCAGUCCUAGUGCCAAGCGUGGGGUUUCUGCUAAUAGGAAAACGUCAGGUUCUUUGGCUUCCUCUUUUUGUCGCUGGUCAGGUUUUAAACCUUGCUUUUCUGAGGAGAGCAAUCAGGGUAGUGUUGAUGUCUACUGUAGGACAGCACUAGCAGAGAGGAUGAAAUGCAAGCCCUGAAUGUGGGCUGCCACAGUAUCUUUAUAUUUUCCUGGUUAUUACAUUUUUAAGAGUCAUUAAUAUAUAUAUAUAAAAUACAUUGUAUCCAAAAUAUGA